rnacentral:misc_RNA from 1 species
GUUUUAAUUCUAACCAUGAUGUCGUACAUCAUACUCGGGUUCCUGUGUGUAAUCCCAUCAAUUUGCUUGUCUAUUCUUACUGAUGGGGAAACUCAGAACGGCACGUUACGGGAUGAAUCAGUGGACACAGAGACCGAUGUUUUCAGACAAUUGUUGAACCAGGAGACUCUGAUUCGAAUGUCACUGGUGAAGAAUGUUCAUAGUCUUAUGAAAGAUAUGAUCGAAAUGAAAGAAAGCAUGUCAGCUAGCAAUAAACGACUCCAUGAUGCCGAGAAAGAAAUCUCAAGCUUAAAAAAUGAGGUACAAUUGCUGAAAACCGAGAACCAGAAGUUCAAAGAGCAAGCUGUGAAAUUCCAAGACGAGUUUAGGACUACUGACAGCAGGUUUAAUGAAAUUGAAGGAAAUUUUACAAAGGUUUCACAAAGCCAAACUCAAUAUGAAAGGCAUGUGAAUGACAAAAUUGAAGACUUUGAGAAAAAUACAUCUACGAUUCUAAAUGACAUCAAGAUAGAGGUCCGCUAUCUUUCUGUAACGUUAUUGGACUUACAUAAACAUACCAUGGAACUGAACAUGUCGAUUCCAGAGCUGAUAGAAAGCAGAAUAACCGAUUUUACGGCCAACGUAAAUAGAUCUGUCGGUGAUAUAAACCACAAGUUGCUUACUUCAAAGGAUUAUCAAGAACAACUGGUGUACAACUUGUCUGCAUUAGGAAAUGACCAAUCUAGUUUAAUGAAAAUAAUAUCAGAUAAUCUAAACAACACUAUAAACUCCAUCAAAGCGGAUGUUGAGCAAUCCCAGAAGUCCCAGUUGAAGUUGUCAGCUGCUGUGUCAUCACUUGAGGUUUUCAGAAUACAUGUCCCUGCUGAACAAUUGUGUUUCGAAAACAAGUGUGAGCUUCACAGUCGGGUUGACGAGUUCGUCUAGUAGCUGGAAUGGAAACAUCUUGGUGUUCCCUCAUGUCGUCACCAAUAAUGGAAACGGAUACAAUCCGAGCACCGGGAAAUUCACCGCCCCCACGGACGGGACAUACGUCUUCUUUGUUACUGUUAAUACGUAUGGUAGUAAUUAUAUAUAUCUAGAUAUUGUGCUUAACGGUUUACAGAAAGUCAGAACGAUGUCGCACAACUCUGCCAACUACAUGACGGGAACAAACAUGGCGGUACUACAGUUGUACACAGGAAACUCUGUCUGGGUCAGUCGGUCCAGUGGACAAAGUUAUUACACAGACUCAGUACCCAUUACGACCUUCUCUGGUUUUCUUCUGUAAUAAAGCUUACACUUUGUAGAACGCUUUGAAGCACAGGAGACUCUUCUAGGGAAUCGAAAUACGAAAUUUGAGAUUUGAAAAUCACAACUCAACUUUUUAAUUUACAAACUAUAUUUUAUCAGAAUUAAAAUCACCCGUAGAUUAUCCUUCAAACGUAAUAAUGCAACGUUUCGUCUGUUUUAAAACUUGGAUGAAUUAUUUCUACAAAUAAUAUAUCCACUAUUUUGUUAAAUCAGCGAAUUUUUAGUAUUUUUGCUCGCCCUCUGCACCUGUGUAUUUAUACCUAAAUACGUUUUAUUCCGAAGUAUAUUUGCUCUACUUGUUGCUGCUUUUUACGUAAAAACAGUAGAUAGUAAGGUAGAUUUAAAAAAAAUGUUCAAACUUAUCCAUCAUUCAAAUAUUUUAAGCGUUAUUUGUCAAUUUGUCGACUCUGGAUGUGCAUGUUAUUGAGAUAUUUUUUUUACAUUUGAAAUAGCUUUAACGAUGUUAAUUACAAAAGUCAUUACCGGUAGCACAAGUUUCCCUUUCCUUAAAAACCCCGUAUUAGUCUAGCUAUUGGCAAUGUCUAAAAUAUAAAAGUGUAAAUUUUAUUAAGUAAAUGAUUUGAAUAAUUGUAACUGCUUAAAUAAUUUUUUGUGUAGAAAAGAAUAAAGUCCCAAAUUUG